UACGUAGGGUGCGAGCGUUGUCCGGAAUUAUUGGGCGUAAAGAGCUCGUAGGCGGUUUGUCGCGUCGACUGUGAAAACCUACAGCUUAACUGUGGGCUUGCAGUCGAUGCGGGCAGACUUGAGUUCGGUAGGGGAGACUGGAAUUCCUGGUGUAGCGGUGAAAUGCGCAGAUAUCAGGAGGAACACCGGUGGCGAAGGCGGGUCUCUGGGCCGAUACUGACGCUGAGGAGCGAAAGCGUGGGGAGCGAACAGG
rnacentral:rRNA from 1 species